GGAUUGCCCUAGUAACGGCGAGUGAAGCGGCAAAAGCCCAGGCUGGAAAUCGCUGCGGCGAGUUGUACAGUGAAGACACGCUGCUCACGCAGAGUGGAGGAGUAAGUGUUCUGGAAAGAAACGCCGCAGAGGGUGAAAGCCCCGUGCCUCCUCCGCAGACGCGACAGCAGGUGUUCCUAGAGUCGGGUAGUUUGGGACUGCUGCCCUAAGUGGGAGGUAGACUUCUUCUAAGGCUAAAUACUCACAAGAGACCGAUAGCGAACAAGUACUGUGAAGGAAAGAUGAAAAGAACUUUGGAAAAAGGGUUAAAAUACUUGAAAUCGUUGAGGAGGAAGCUGUGAGGCUGGUCUCGGCAGCAGUGCAACUAAGUGCACGCACUUGGGGGAGCUGCUGCCUCAACUCGGUCUUUGCUGAAGUUCUGAGCUGCCCUGCUGUUAGUUGGGCAGGCCCAGAGCUGAGGGUGCGGGCCGAGUGACUUGCCCCACUGACCCGUCUUGAAACACGGACCAAGGAGUCUAACAUGUGUGCGAGUAGUUGGGUGGAGACCCUUCUGCGUAAGGAAACUGAGCCUUUCAGGGCCGUGUUAACGAGCUCAGCAGGCAUGUUGGGACCCGAAAGAUGGUGAACUAUGCUUGGGAAAGGCGAAGCCAGGGGAAACCUUGGUGGAGGCUUGU
rnacentral:rRNA from 1 species